GACAGAGGGUGCAAACGUUGCUCGGAAUUACUGGGCGUAAAGGGCGUGUAGGCGGGAAGGCAAGUCGGGCGUGAAAGCCCCAGGCUCAACCUGGGAACUGCACUCGAAACUGCCUUUCUUGAGUGCCGGAGAGGAAAGCGGAAUUCCUGGUGUAGAGGUGAAAUUCGUAGAUAUCAGGAGGAACACCAGUGGCGAAGGGCGGCUUUCUGGACGGUAACUGACGCUGAGACGCGAAAGCGUGGGGAGCAAACAGG
rnacentral:rRNA from 1 species